GACGAACGCUGGCGGCGUGCUUAACGCAUGCAAGUCGAACGGAAAGGCCCUGCUUUUGUGGGGUGCUCGAGUGGCGAACGGGUGAGUAACACGUGAGUAACCUGCCCUUGACUUUGGGAUAACUUCAGGAAACUGGGGCUAAUACCGGAUAGGAGCUCCUGCUGCAUGGUGGGGGUUGGAAAGUUUCGGCGGUUGGGGAUGGACUCGCGGCUUAUCAGCUUGUUGGUGGGGUAGUGGCUUACCAAGGCUUUGACGGGUAGCCGGCCUGAGAGGGUGACCGGCCACAUUGGGACUGAGAUACGGCCCAGACGCCUACGGGAGGCAGCAGUGGGGAAUAUUGCACAAUGUGCGGAAGCCGGAUGCAGCAACGCCGCGUGCGGGAGGACGGCCUUCGGGUUGUAAACCGCUUUCGCCUGUGACGAAGCGUGAGGGACGGUAAUGGGUAAAGAAGCACCGGCUAACUACGG
rnacentral:rRNA from 1 species